rnacentral:rRNA from 1 species
CGCUGGCGGCGUGCCUAAUACAUGCAAGUCGAGCGAAGAGUUAAUGGUGCUUGCACCAAUAACACUUAGCGGCGAACGGGUGAGUAACACGUAAAGAACCUGCCUCAUAGACUGGGACAACUACUGGAAACGGUAGCUAAUACCGGAUAAAAUUUAAAAUCGCAUGGAGAUAAAUUAAAAGUCGGUGCAAGCUGACACUAUGAGAUGGCUUUGCGGUGCAUUAGCUAGUUGGCAGGGUAAAGGCCUACCAAGGCGACGAUGCAUAGCCGACCUGAGAGGGUGAUCGGCCACACUGGGACUGGGACACGGCCCAGACUCCUACGGGAGGCAGCAGUAGGGAAUCUUCGGCAAUGGACGAAAGUCUGACCGAGCAACGCCGCGUGAGUGAAGAAGGAUUUCGGUUCGUAAAGCUCUGUUGUUAGGGAAGAAUGACUGUAUAGUAACUAUAUACAGUAGGGACGGUACCUAACCAGAAAGCCACGGCUAACUACGUGCCAGCAGCCGCGGUAAUACGUAGGUGGCAAGCGUUGUCCGGAAUUAUUGGGCGUAAAGCGCGCGCAGGUGGUUUAAUAAGUCUGAUGUGAAAGCCCACGGCUCAACCGUGGAGGGUCAUUGGAAACUGUUAAACUUGAGUGCAGGAGAGAAAAGUGGAAUUCCUAGUGUAGCGGUGAAAUGCGUAGAGAUUAGGAGGAACACCAGUGGCGAAGGCGGCUUUUUGGCCUGCAACUGACACUGAGGUGCGAAAGCGUGGGGAGCAANCAGGAUUAGAUACCCU